rnacentral:rRNA from 1 species
AGCGAACGCUGGCGGCAGGCCUAACACAUGCAAGUCGAACGGACCCUUCGGGGUUAGUGGCGGACGGGUGAGUAACACGUGGGAACGUGCCUUUAGGUUCGGAAUAGCUCCUGGAAACGGGUGGUAAUGCCGAAUGUGCCCUUCGGGGGAAAGAUUUAUCGCCUUUAGAGCGGCCCGCGUCUGAUUAGCUAGUUGGUGGGGUAAUGGCCCACCAAGGCUACGAUCAGUAGCUGGUCUGAGAGGAUGACCAGCCACAUUGGGACUGAGACACGGCCCAAACUCCUACGGGAGGCAGCAGUGGGGAAUCUUGCGCAAUGGGCGAAAGCCUGACGCAGCCAUGCCGCGUGUAUGAUGAAGGUCUUAGGAUUGUAAAAUACUUUCACCGGUGAAGAUAAUGACUGUAGCCGGAGAAGAAGCCCCGGCUAACUUCGUGCCAGCAGCCGCGGUAAUACGAAGGGGGCUAGCGUUGCUCGGAAUUACUGGGCGUAAAGGGAGCGUAGGCGGACAUUUAAGUC